AUACGUAGGACGCGAGCGUUGUCCGGAUUUACCGGGUGUAAAGGGUGCGUAGGCGGCUCUGCAAGUCAGGUGUGAAACCCAUCGGCUUAACUGAUGGACUGCAUUUGAAACUGUGGGGCUUGAGUGGAGUAGAGGCAGACGGAAUUCCCGGUGUAGCGGUGAAAUGCGUAGAGAUCGGGAAGAACACCAGUGGCGAAGGCGGUCUGCUGGGCUCUAACUGACGCUGAGGCACGAAAGCAUGGGUAGCAAACAGGAUUAGAUACCCUGGUAGUCCAUGCCGUAAACGAUGAUUACUAGGUGUGGGGAGUCUGACCCUCUCCGUGCCGGAGUUAACACAAUAAGUAAUCCACCUGGGAAGUACGACCGCAAGGUUAAA
rnacentral:rRNA from 1 species